GAUGAACGCUGGCGGCGUGCUUAACACAUGCAAGUCGAACGGAAAGGCCCAAGCUUGCUUGGGUACUCGAGUGGCGCACGGGAGAGUAACCCGUGGGUGAUCUGCCCUGCACUUCAGAACAAUCCUGGGAACCCGGUUCUAAUACCGGAUAGGACGAUGGCAUGGAUGCGAUUGUGGAAAGUUUGUUCGGUGAGGGAUGAGCUCGCGGCCUAUCAGGUUGUUGGUGGGGUAAUGGGCUACCAAGGCGGAGACGGGGAGCCGGCCUGAGAGGGUGUACGGCCACAUUGGAACUGAGAGACGGCCCAGACUCGUGCGGGAGGCAGCAGGGGGGAAGAUUGGACAAUGGGCGCGGGCCUGAUGCAGCGAGGCCGCGUGGGGGAUAACGGCCUUCGGGUUGUAAACUCCUUUCGCUAGGGACGAAGCGUUAUUGUGACGGUACCUGGAGAAGAAGCACCGGCUAACUACGUG
rnacentral:rRNA from 1 species